GCUGACCGAAGAAAGAAGAGGGCGUCGGGGGAGGAAGAAGAUGGCGUCGAGGAGAAAGAGCUGACGAUGGAAUCGAGUAGGGGCUCCCUCCGGGUCCCUGGGAAUGAAGAGCAUUUUUUUUUUGUCCAGGGACCCUGUUUAGGGUCCAUACUGAAGAUGCUCUAAUGUGAUCCUUGCCAGUUAAUCACAUUUCGGACGGUGCAUAUGGAACUGAAAGAAUGAGUGCAGAGGAAGAAGUCUGCAAUCGUAAACAGGUUGUUUUCUGUAUAAGCCUUGCCGGCACCUCGUCAAUUCCGUGUACACCAAACAAAGCCUUGUCUGGACGGAUUUUUGUAACGGAACGGAAGGUAAGGCUUUGCCAUCUCGUCAGUUUAAAGCAGGUUGUAACGGAACGGAAGGUAAAGGUUGUUUGGACUUAAAACCUUCCCGGCGAACCUCACGGCAAAGCAAGAGACCGGUUUUCUGCUGCCGCCGCCAAAGGUCGAAGCGUCAAAUGAUGUGCACGGCAAGUUAAGGAGCAUGUGAUGUUGAAACUCAGCUCUAAAAGGCGAGUCAUGCCACGGUUCCUUCCAUCUUUUCUUUGGUUGCUAGUCAAACUUGCCACCAACAAGCCUGGCCAAAAGUGUUGGGGCUACUGAAGUCAAGUCAAUCCAAUUUUGACAAGAACAUGAAUUGGGGAAAGCAUUAAGGUGAAAAUUUAGCAAAUUUUGGCAAGAAGCCUUUUAGCCUUUCUUUUUUUUGUAAUAAACAGAACAAAACAAAACCAAACCAAAUCAGACACCCUGCCCAUGCCCAUGCCCAUGCCCAUGGCCCAAUACCGUUGAUCCGUUUUUUUAGGAAACCUAGUACUGCCACCUAGCCAGGCCCAUUGACAAACGACAGAUAUGGGCUGGCGCAAGCAAGACAGAAUCCUACCAAAUCCAAUGCUCGGAAUGGAGGAUCCCAUCGUCUCCCUGUUCUGGAACUGGGACAGCUGAGUACUUGAAUGGAAACUACUAUUCUGGGUGAUAAACAGUCAGCUAUAUAGAUAGAUAGUCUUCUCAGUAACCUAAGCUCCACAACGAUCUCUGGUACAAUUUUCACAGUAACAGUUUAUAACUGGAAAAAAGAAGCAGCAAACAAGGCUCUUGAAUCCCGUUCCCACAUGGUUGGGCGCUAGAAGCAGAACGACUGU